CCUACGGGAGGCAGCAGUGGGGAAUAUUGCACAAUGGGGGAAACCCUGAUGCAGCGACGCCGCGUGAGUGAAGAAGUAUUUCGGGAUGUAAAGCUCUAUCAGCAGGGAAGAAGAAAGACGGUACCUGACUAAGAAGCCCCGGCUAACUACGUGCCAGCAGCCGCGGUUAUACGUAGGGGGAAAGCGUUAUCCGGAUUUACUGGGGGUAAAGGGAGCGUAGACGGCUGUGCAAGUCUGAAGGGAAAGCCCAGGGCUCAACCCUGGGAGUGCUUUGGAAACUGUGGAGCUAGAGUGCUGGAGAGGUAAGUGGAAUUCCUAGUGUAGCGGUGAAAUGCGUAGAUAUUAGGAGGAACACCAGUGGCGAAGGCGGCGUACUGGACAGUAACUGACGUUGAGGCUCGAAAGCGUGGGGAGCAAACAGGAUUAGAUACCCGAGUAGUC
rnacentral:rRNA from 1 species